rnacentral:rRNA from 1 species
CCCUUAGACGUUCUGGGCCGCACGCGCGCUACACUGACACAGGCAACGAGCUUUCCUUUACCGAAAGGUAUGGGUAAUCUUUUGAAACUGUGUCGUGCUGGGGAUAGAUCCUUGCAAUUUUUGAUCUUAAACGAGGAAUUCCUAGUAAGCGCGAGUCAUCAACUCGCGUUGAUUACGUCCCUGCCCUUUGUACACACCGCCCGUCGCUACUACCGAUUGAAUGAUCCGAUGAAUACCAUGGAUUGAGAGUUCGAAUAGGUUCGCCUAUUUCAGCUUCUCGAGAAGUGGAGUAAAUCUUAUCAUUUAGAGGAAGGAGAAGUCGUAACA